GAUGAAGAACGCAGCAAAAUGCGAUAAGUAAUGUGAAUUGCAGAAUUCAGUGAAUCAUCGAAUCUUUGAACGCACAUUGCGCCCGCUGGUAUUCCGGCGGGCAUGCCUGUUCGAGCGUCAUUUCAACCCUCAAGCCCCCGGGUUUGGUGUUGGGGAUCGGCUCUGCCCUUCUGGGCGGUGCCGCCCCCGAAAUACAUUGGCGGUCUCGCUGCAGCCUCCAUUGCGUAGUAGCUAACACCUCGCAACUGGAACGCGGCGCGACCAUGCCGUAAAACCCCAACUUCUGAAUGUUGACCUCGGAUCAGGUAGGAAUACCCGCUGAACUUAAGCAUAUCAAUAAGCGGAGGA
rnacentral:misc_RNA from 1 species